CUAAAUACCAAGCGUCUGACAGCACCGGAUGGCAGGAUAUUUAACUAUGGACAUAUUAACAUUCAAAAAUUUGUAAGAGCACCGGUCUGUACAUAAAUCGUCGUAGAAGCGGUUGUCGCAUCGGUUAUGCCUUGGACUCCCAACCUUCUUGAGGUCAGCGGAUUCGAAACUCUCGCUGUAUUUCUGAUACCUGUUCUACCAUCAACAUAAAGGAAUGCAACAAAAGCAUACAUUUCAAUUGCUGCUUGACAAAAAGGACUUUCUCAAUUUGUUUUUUUAAUCUGAAAAUCGACGCAAAUAUAUUAUUAUAUUCCUACUAUGGAGAGUGGAUAUGCUAGUGCCGUUCUAACGAUACUAAUAUGCGUUGUAGCCAUACUGGAAAACGCAUUCGUUAUCUUGACCGUGUGGGGAAUUCGCAACUUAAGAAAGAAAAACUGUACGUUAAUUGUUAAUCUUGCAGUGGCUGACUUAUUAUGUGGAAGUGGCAACCUUCUUAUAAUCUCCAUCAUUGGUAACGACUUUACGGCGGACGUUCUUGAUAUAUAUGCAAUGUCAGUGUUGACCAUUAUGAUGUGGUCUUCAUCUUUUACCUUCGCUGUGGGCUUUGAACGCAUGUUAGCUGUGGCCACACCAAUUUGGUAUAACAAUAAUAUUACUAAAUGUAAAGUAGCUAUUGUAUGUGUAAUACUGUGGACGUUACCGCCUUGUGUAUUUUUUCUUACUGGGUUCCUUGAUAAUUGGAAGGUGUUUGCGGGGUUUUUCUUAUAUCUGCAGUUUGCAAUGACGAUUUCGGUAGGAAUCCUGUAUGUUAUAAUUUUCUUUAUUUUAAAAAAUACAAACAAUAGACACACAUUGGGGGCUAGCUCCCGAGCUAUUCGACAGGCCCAGUUACGGUCGAUUUUCAUUACAUUUGGUAUACUAAUCUGUUCAUUGUCCCUGUGUUUAUUACCAGUACAGGUAUUAGCGAUAUGUCGUUUCAAUGAAUGUGUGGAUUGGUCUGAGCAUAUUUGGCAAACAAUAUUUGGUGUUAUGUUACCAAUUCUGAUGUUUAAUUCAGCAUUAAAUCCGAUUGUUUAUUGGUGGCGCAUUCCAACAUUUAGAGAAGGAUACAAGAAUCUUGUAAUCUCCUGGCUCGUACGUUGCCAUAUCCGCCAGAAGGAUCGGCCAAAAUCUCCACAGUGGAACGGUCAGUAUCAAACAACCAGACAAUAAAGAGGACUCUUUUGUAUGGCCAUGGUAUAACCGCGUACGAUCAGGGGGUACCUGUCACCGACGGAAUCGAGAACCUUUCCUAAUUCAACUGGCCAAUCAGCGUCGCCAAAGGAGUCAGUGGUAGCGUGUAGCGAUUUUUUAUGGAAACCAGGCUUUAAAGCCCCA